AUAACGGUCCUAAGGUAGCGAAAUUCCUUGUCGGGUAAGUUCCGACCUGCACGAAAGGCGCAACGACUUGGGCGCUGUCUCGACCAUGGACCCGGUGAAAUUGCACUGGUCGUGAAGAUGCGACUUACCCGCGGAAGGACGGAAAGACCCCGUGAACCUUCACUGCAGCUUGGCAUUGGCCGCUGGUCCCGCGUGUAGAGGAUAGGCAGGAGGCAUCGAUCCGGAGGCGCCAGCCCCCGGGGAGCCGCCCUUGGAAUACUGCCCUCGCGCGACCGGCGUCCUAACCCGAGGCCGUCAACCGGCUCGGGGACCGUGCCAGGCGGGCAGUUUGACUGGGGCGGUCGCCUCCUAAAGGGUAACGGAGGCGCGCGAAGGUCCGCUCGGGACGGUCGGCAACCGUCCUUUUGAAUGCAAGAGUACAAGCGGGCUUGACUGCGAGGCCCACAAGCCGAGCAGGUGCGAAAGCAGGCUCUAGUGAUCCGGCGGCCCCGAGUGGGUGGGCCGUCGCUCAACGGAUAAAAGGUACUCCGGGGAUAACAGGCUGAUCUUGCCCAAGAGUCCACAUCGACGGCAAGGUUUGGCACCUCGAUGUCGGCUCAUCGCAUCCUGGGGCUGGAGCAGGUCCCAAGGGUACGGCUGUUCGCCGUUUAAAGCGGUACGCGAGCUGGGUUCAGAACGUCGUGAGACAGUUCGGUCCCUAUCCUCCGUGGGCGCAGGAGAAUCGAUGGAGGCUGCCCCCAGUACGAGAGGACCGGGGUGGACGCACCUCCGGUGAACCGGUUGUCGACCAACGGCACGGCCGGGUAGCCGCGUGCGGCGCGGAUAACCGCUGAAGGCAUCUAAGCGGGAAGCCGUUCCAGGGAUUAGUUCUCCUUCCGGUAAGGGCCCAGGUAGACUACCUGGUCGAUAGACGGCAGGUGCAAGGACGGCGACGUCCUCAGCCGAGCCGCACUAAUCGCCCGAGCUCUUCCGGAA
rnacentral:rRNA from 1 species